CCAAACCCACGCAGCCCAUCCCACCUCCCCAGCGCCCGGGGUUUCAGCUCAGACCAGCUCCCAGCAUGUAAGGAGCUUAGAAGACACUGUUCCACCAUAAUGAGAACCUGAACAAACUGAGGAAUCAGCACUCACCUUGGGUCCACCAGUGUAUUUCUGGAGAGUAAGGACCACAGAAGAUGACUCCUUUGCUUCUGGAUAAACUCCCUCUACAACCCCUUUCCAUAGGGACAUUAUGUUGGGGGACCUUUGGGGGAAAAGCAAGGAACCCUCCCCUUUCUGCCUUUCUGCCUGAACUGAUGAGAAGACUUCUGCUCACAUCAGGGCCUGGAGCACCCCUGCAUAUAUCACAGAGGAGACAAUUUUGAAGCCAACAAAGGAGCCAUUUCAGGUGCUGAAGCAUCAAUGCCUGAUGAACUUCCAGGUGCCAUUUUAUACUGAGAACUCAGAAGAGAGCAGCUAUAUUAGAAAGGUCAUCAGCAAUCCAUCC